UGGAUAACCUACCUAUAAGACUGGGAUAACUUCCGGGAAACCCGGAGCUAAUACCGGAUAAUAUUUUGAACCGCAUGGUUCAAAAGUGAAAGACGGUCUUGCUGUCACUUAUAGAUGGAUCCGCGCUGCAUUAGCUAGUUGGUAAGGUAACGGCUUACCAAGGCAACGAUGCAUAGCCGACCUGAGAGGGUGAUCGGCCACACUGGAACUGAGACACGGUCCAGACUCCUACGGGAGGCAGCAGUAGGGAAUCUUCCGCAAUGGGCGAAAGCCUGACGGAGCAACGCCGCGUGAGUGAUGAAGGUCUUCGGAUCGUAAAACUCUGUUAUUAGGGAAGAACAUAUGUGUAAGUAACUGUGCACAUCUUGACGGUACCUAAUCAGAAAGCCACGGCUAACUACGUGCCAGCAGCCGCGGUAAUACGUAGGUGGCAAGCGUUAUCCGGAAUUAUUGGGCGUAAAGCGCGCGUAGGCGGUUUUUUAAGUCUGAUGUGAAAGCCCACGGCUCAACCGUGGAGGGUCAUUGGAAACUGGAAAACUUGAGUGCAGAAGAGGAAAGUGGAAUUCCAUGUGUAGCGGUGAAAUGCGCAGAGAUAUGGAGGAACACCAGUGGCGAAGGCGACUUUCUGGUCUGUAACUGACGCUGAUGUGCGAAAGCGUGGGGAUCAAACAGGAUUAGAUACCCUGGUAGUCCACGCCGUAAACGAUGAGUGCUCAAGUGUUAGGGGGUUUCCGCCCCUUAGUGCUGCAGCUAACGCAUUAAGCACUCCGCCUGGGAGUACAGACC
rnacentral:rRNA from 1 species